rnacentral:lncRNA from 1 species
CUCCUUUCUUCCUCGGCGUUGCUGCUUUUGCAAUUGAAUUUCUAUGUUCUUUUUUUUCCAAAUUGUUUCACAAUUGGUUCCAAACAAAAAUUAAUUUUCUUUUAUUUAUAAGCAACAUGUAUUUUCAAUUGAUUAUGAAAACUCUUAAAAGUAGUAUUGUCUGUGUUUGUGUCGCGUUUCUUCCAUCAGGUUUGCCCAAUUUCUCCUAAAAUUUUAUCAAAUUCCACCCCUUUGAAUCGACGAGGCUUAUCAUUUGCCUCCAUGGAUCAAUUUCUGAUUCUAAAUCGUGAUCUUAAACUUUAUUCUUGUUGUAAGUUGGCCAAAUUCUUCUUUUUUUUUCUGUUUAAUCCCCUUCAUCAUCAAUGUCUAUUUUUCUCUGGGAGUGUGUAG